CAGGCUUAACACAUGCAAGUCGAGGGGCAUCAGGAAGAAAGCUUGCUUUCUUUGCUGGCGACCGGCGCACGGGUGAGUAACACGUAUCCAACCUGCCCUUUACUCGGGGAUAGCCUUUCGAAAGAAAGAUUAAUACCCGAUAGCAUAAUGAUUCCGCAUGGUUUCAUUAUUAAAGGAUUCCGGUAAAGGAUGGGGAUGCGUUCCAUUAGGUUGUUGGUGAGGUAACGGCCCACCAAGCCUUCGAUGGAUAGGGGUUCUGAGAGGAAGGUCCCCCACAUUGGAACUGAGACACGGUCCAAACUCCUACGGGAGGCAGCAGUGAGGAAUAUUGGUCAAUGGGCGCUAGCCUGAACCAGCCAAGUAGCGUGAAGGAUGAAGGCUCUAUGGGUCGUAAACUUCUUUUAUAUAAGAAUAAAGUGCAGUAUGUAUACUGUUUUGUAUGUAUUAUAUGAAUAAGGAUCGGCUAACUCCGUGCCAGCAGCCGCGGUAAUACGGAGGAUCCGAGCGUUAUCCGGAUUUAUUGGGUUUAAAGGGAGCGUAGGUGGACUGGUAAGUCAGUUGUGAAAGUUUGCGGCUCAACCGUAAAAUUGCAGUUGAUACUGUCAGUCUUGAGUACAGUAGAGGUGGGCGGAAUUCGUGGUGUAGCGGUGAAAUGCUUAGAUAUCACGAAGAACUCCGAUUGCGAAGGCAGCUCACUGGACUGCAACUGACACUGAUGCUCGAAAGUGUGGGUAUCAAACAGGAUUAGAUACCCUGGUAGUCCACACAGUAAACGAUGAAUACUCGCUGUUUGCGAUAUACAGUAAGCGGCCAAGCGAAAGCAUUAAGUAUUCCACCUGGGGAGUACGCCGGCAACGGUGAAACUCAAAGGAAUUGACGGGGGCCCGCACAAGCGGAGGAACAUGUGGUUUAAUUCGAUGAUACGCGAGGAACCUUACCCGGGCUUAAAUUGCAGUGGAAUGAUGUGGAAACAUGUCAGUGAGCAAUCACCGCUGUGAAGGUGCUGCAUGGUUGUCGUCAGCUCGUGCCGUGAGGUGUCGGCUUAAGUGCCAUAACGAGCGCAACCCUUAUCUUUAGUUACUAACAGGUUAUGCUGAGGACUCUAGAGAGACUGCCGUCGUAAGAUGUGAGGAAGGUGGGGAUGACGUCAAAUCAGCACGGCCCUUACGUCCGGGGCUACACACGUGUUACAAUGGAGGGUACAGAAGGCAGCUAGCGGGUGACCGUAUGCUAAUCCCAAAAUCCUCUCUCAGUUCGGAUCGAAGUCUGCAACCCGACUUCGUGAAGCUGGAUUCGCUAGUAAUCGCGCAUCAGCCACGGCGCGGUGAAUACGUUCCCGGGCCUUGUACACACCGCCCGUCAAGCCAUGGGAGCCGGGGGUACCUGAAGUACGUAACCGCAAGGAUCGUCCUAGGGUAAAACUGGUGACUGG
rnacentral:rRNA from 1 species